rnacentral:rRNA from 1 species
AUGGCGGCCACCACCAUGUCUCUUUCCUCUUGGUCCUUCGCCGGCAAGGCCGUCAAGAACUUGCCCUCGUCGGCUUUCAUUGGUGAGGCACGUGUGAACAUGCGCAAGACCGCCGCGAAAGCCAAACAAGUUUCAUCUAGAAGCCCGUGGUACGGCUCUGACCGUGUGCUCUACCUCGGCCCGCUUUCCGGCGAGCCCCCCAGCUACUUGACUGGUGAGUUCCCCGGUGACUAUGGGUGGGACACCGCCGGUCUCUCGGCUGACCCUGAGACCUUCGCCAAGAACCGGGAGCUUGAGGUGAUCCACUGCCGAUGGGCCAUGCUCGGUGCGCUUGGUUGUGUCUUUCCUGAGUUGCUUGCCCGCAAUGGUGUGAAGUUUGGCGAGGCCGUCUGGUUCAAGGCUGGCUCUCAGAUCUUCAGCGAGGGUGGCCUCGACUACCUUGGCAACCCCAGCCUCGUCCACGCUCAGAGCAUCCUCGCCAUCUGGGCUUGUCAAGUUGUGCUCAUGGGUGCCGUUGAGGGGUACCGCAUUGCUGGUGGUCCGCUCGGCGAGAUAGUCGACCCACUCUACCCUGGUGGCAGCUUUGACCCGCUUGGCCUGGCCGACGACCCCGAGGCAUUUGCGGAGCUCAAGGUUAAGGAGAUCAAGAAUGGCCGCCUCGCCAUGUUCUCCAUGUUUGGCUUCUUUGUGCAGGCCAUUGUCACCGGCAAGGGCCCAUUGGAGAACCUUGCCGACCACAUUGCUGACCCUGUCAACAACAACGCGUGGGCAUUCGCCACCAACUUCGCGCCGGGGAAGUAA